rnacentral:rRNA from 1 species
GACGAACGCUGGCGGCGUGCUUAACACAUGCAAGUCGAACGGAAAGGCCCUGCUUUUGUGGGGUGCUCGAGUGGCGAGCGGGUGAGUAACACGUGAGUAACCUGCCCUUGACUUUGGGAUAACUUCAGGAAACUGGGGCUAAUACCGGAUAGGAGCUCCUGCUGCAUGGUGGGGGUUGGAAAGCUUCGGCGGUUGGGGAUGGACUCGCGGCUUAUCAGCUUGUUGGUGGGGUAGUGGCUUACCAAGGCUUUGACGGGUAGCCGGCCUGAGAGGGUGACCGGCCACAUUGGGACUGAGAUACGGCCCAGACUCCUACGGGAGGCAGCAGUGGGGAAUAUUGCACAAUGGGCGGAAGCCUGAUGCAGCAACGCCGCGUGCGGGAUGACGGCCUUCGGGUUGUAAACCGCUUUCGCCUGUGACGAAGCGUGAGUGACGGUAAUGGGUAAAGAAGCACCGGCUAACUACGUGCCAGCAGCCGCGGUGAUACGUAGGGUGCGAGCGUUGUCCGGAUUUAUUGGGCGUAAAGGGCUCGUAGGUGGUUGAUCGCGUCGGAAGUGUAAUCUUGGGGCUUAACCCUGAGCGUGCUUUCGAUACGGGUUGACUUGAGGAAGGUAGGGGAGAAUGGAAUUCCUGGUGGAGCGGUGGAAUGCGCAGAUAUCAGGAGGAACACCAGUGGCGAAGGCGGUUCUCUGGGCCUUUCCUGACGCUGAGGAGCGAAAGCGUGGGGAGCGAACGGGCUUAGAUACCCUGGUAGUCCACGCUGUAAACGGUGGGUACUAGGUGUGGGGUCCAUUCCACGGGUUCCGUGCCGUAGCUAACGCUUUAAGUACCCCGCCUGGGGAGUACGGCCGCAAGGCUAAAACUCAAAGGAAUUGACGGGGCCCCGCACAAGCGGCGGAGCAUGCGGAUUAGUUCGAUGCAACGCGUAGAACCUUACCUGGGUUUGACAUGGAUCGGGAGUGCUCAGAGAUGGGUGUGCCUCUUUUGGGGUCGGUUCACAGGUGGUGCAUGGCUGUCGUCAGCUCGUGUCGUGAGAUGUUGGGUUAAGUCCCGCAACGAGCGCAACCCUUGUUCACUGUUGCCAGCACGUUAUGGUGGGGACUCAGUGGAGACCGCCGGGGUCAACUCGGAGGAAGGUGGGGAUGACGUCAAGUCAUCAUGCCCCUUAUGUCCAGGGCUUCACGCAUGCUACAAUGGCUGGUACAGAGAGUGGCGAGCCUGUGAGGGUGAGCGAAUCUCGGAAAGCCGGUCUCAGUUCGGAUUGGGGUCUGCAACUCGACCUCAUGAAGUCGGAGUCGCUAGUAAUCGCAGAUCAGCAACGCUGCGGAAAUACGUUCCCGGGGCU